rnacentral:rRNA from 1 species
GACGAACGCUGGCGGCGUGCUUAACACAUGCAAGUCGAACGGAAAGGCCCUGCUUUUGUGGGGUGCUCGAGUGGCGAACGGGUGAGUAACACGUGAGUAACCUGCCCUUGACUUUGGGAUAACUUCAGGAAACUGGGGCUAAUACCGGAUAGGAGCUCCUGCUGCAUGGUGGGGGUUGGAAAGUUUCGGCGGUUGGGGAUGGACUCGCGGCUUAUCAGCUUGUUGGUGGGGUAGUGGCUUACCAAGGCUUUGACGGGUAGCCGGCCUGAGAGGGUGACCGGCCAAAUGGGGACUGGGAUACGGCCCAGACUCCUACGGGGGGCAGGAGGGGGGAAUAUUGAACAAGGGGCGGAAGCCUGAUGCAGAAACGCCGGGGGGGGGAGGACGGCCUUCGGGUUGUAAACCGCUUUCGCCUGUGACGAAGCGUGAGUGACGGUAAUGGGUAAAGAAGCACCGGCUAACUACGU